rnacentral:lncRNA from 10 species
UGGGAACGUGCAGCCAUGAGGUCCAGGGUGCAUUUUAGAGAGGACGGGUUGGAGGUCAUGGUGUGGUCUGGAAGAAAGGUCAGGAAAUGGAAUCAUGGUGUUAGUGGUUUAGAAAAGUGGUCCGAUGCCAGAGGCUAAGUUACUUGGCUUGGUUCACACAUCAGCAAGUUCAAACCGAGUUCAGUUGUGCUGCGAAGCCAAUAUGCUAAGUCACCAUAAUUUAACAACAGGUUUCCCCUCAAGGUAUCAUGACAUUAUUUUUUUGGGUCUCAACCAACUAGCAUUUGUCAAAGAGAGAUGGAGAGAGAGAGAAUGAAAAGAAGGAAGGAAGGAAGGAAAGAAGGAAGGAAGGAAGGAAGGAAGGAAAUAGAAUAGAAUAAAAUCACAGUUUAUUUCACGGAGUGAAGGAAGGGUUGCUGCGUGCAAAUGUGUUUCUGUGCUGUAUGCUUAUCUGCAGAUGGAUGUACCGGGCUGUGAUAUGAAACCUAUUUUUAUGGCUGGUUGUGGCUCCUCUGAGCUGCUAUUGGGUUUGCCCUCCACCCCCUCUCACGCUGACUCUGGGCCCUUCAAAAUGAGUCAUAGAGAGUCAUUACCACUCCCCCCGACCCAACCCUGACUCUGCUGUACACCUCAUGGUUUCUGAUAAUACAGCAUUGUGAAGUCGGGGGAAGGCUGGCAGAGGGGCCCAGUCUAGUCUGUGACCUGAGCCAUCAUGGUAGGGUGUCCAGGGUGAGGGGAGGGUGGUGUGAAUCCCCAGUAAUGCAGGUCCUUUCCAGGCCAGGCCCCUGGUCCCCAGGAGUGCGGGGAUGCCUGAGGUCUACUGCUGCCUUAUCCAGAGCUGCCAUCCCCGGCGAUGACUCAGAGUUCCUGUGGCCCCAGCAUCAUCCCUCCAUCCCUGGCUGUGAGGCAGGAGCAGAGUUGCAGACCUGAGAGGCCUUGAAUUUGUUUGAUAUAGGACUUUGCCACCAGACAAAGUGCUUUGCCUGUGAGGUCUGGCUUGGCCUGGCCUCUGAGAAAGAACAAACACAGACCUCACUGGAAGGAACCUGGAGAACGGGAGAGGAGAGGCUGCUGCUGUCUGCCCUCCCAGCAGCAGAUAUAAAGACAAUGGGCUUCUAAGUCCCCUAGAGUCCCAGCUGUGUAAUUUAAGGCGAGUUCAUCUCUCACAGCCUCAGUUUCCUCAUUUGCUGGCACCUGUCUUUCUCCUUCAUAGCCAUUGUCACUGUUGCAAUGAUAUCAACAAUGCUUACAUUUCAGAUAGAUCCCCAGCUGGGUUGAAAGGAACGUCAAGACCCUUCCUUUCUUAUGACCUAUGUAUCAACUCCCUUCUACCUUGCCUCCCUCCACUUGGAGCGAGUUCUAGUUGGUGAAAUGUAGCCAGAGGUUCCUGGAAAGGCUUUCCUUCUCAAGUAAAGCCUGGCUCAGAGAAAACCACUGGUCUCUUUCCUUUUCUUCCUCCUGACAUGAACAUGGGGCAGGAAGGAGCAUGGAGAAGACAAGAACAAGGCUCUCAGAAGGAAAUGGUGUGGCUGGAGCCAUGAGAACUGGUUGUGGAGGGGGCAAAUAUAAUUUCUGACCUACGUAAUGAUGUAUGCACAAGAAGCCUCUCUUGAAUGUAUUAAUUCAGUAAACAGUUAUGGAGUCCUUACAAUGUGCUAGUGGGACUUUGAAGAUGAAUCCAAAUUUGGAUCCUGGCCUGGAAAGGCUCAAAGCCCAAUAUGGGAGUGAUUCUGAGCAGAAACAAAGGGGAACGUAUGUCUUCAUUGUGACUCAGCGAGCAAAGAGAUGGAGUCUUUUCCAAGAAGAAAGUGGGAGAUUUGGGACCACUGACAUAUUUGGCCCACUGAUUCCAUUCCCCUAGACCAACACGUGUUCAUCAAAUUGCAUCACUCUUAUGGGGAACUUAAUGCAACUCCGGUGCCCAUUGCAUUAGUUUUUGAUGAUGGAAUUCUCUUUGUGAACUUGAACUUGAGGGGUCUGGCUACCCCUCUGAGACUUCUUUUUUGAGAUAAAAUCAUAUAACAUAAAAUUCGCCCUUUUAAUGUGUACAAUUCAGUGGUUUUUAGUGUAUUUACAAUGUCAUGCCACCAUCACCACAAUCUAAUUCCCAAACAUUUUUAUCUCCUUAAAAAGCAGCCACUCCCCAUUCCCCCAUCUGCAGCCCAGGGCAAUCCCUAAUCUAUGUUCUGUCUCUGUGGCCUCUCAGAGACUUCUGGCACCAGUCUCUCCAGUCCAUGAGCUGUGAACUCCCUUUUUAGCACAUUUGGCCCUGACACCUGCCAUCUUACCUUUGCUUCUGGACACCCAGAUUGAAUCUUCCCUAAAAACCAACUUUGCAUUGUUUGCCCAACAUUUGAACCUCCUUCCUAUAUUUGUGUAACUGCUCAGUGUAUGACUCAUUUUCGGAGGAGUCAGUGGCCAUCUUUCUCUAUUAAGGCUCAAGAAGAUAGAUUCCUGCUUUCCCAGACUUCCUUGCAACGAGUCCUUAGAUGGGUGUGCUAGGCUCAAGCUCAACCAGUGACUAUGAAUCUGGAGCCAGUGGCCUGAAAAGUCAGGGGUAGUGAAGAAUCUUUGCUGUUAGUGUGGUGGUAGCAGUAGUAAUGUCAAAGGCCUACUGGCAGCAGGGCUGUGGGCCCAUGGCAGCGGGACCAUGCUCAAGUGGCACUAAUGUCUGCAUUGGGCUGGCUGGUUCUGAUUUUGGCUGUCUCUUAGACUCUCUUGCUCCUGGGCACUGUUUAAGCUGGUCCUCCAGCCUUCUUGGCUAUUGAGUGAGCUAGAUCCUAUCUUUAAAAUAGAUUUUCUUUCAAUUAAAAUCAUCCAGAGUUGGUUUCCAUGCUUGCAGUUAAGGACCCCAUCUGGAAGAAGUAUUUUAUGAGUAGAGUCUUAACCAGAACGGGUCAUAGGGUUUUGCCUCAGAAUACUGCAAUUAAGAGGGCACCAUAUUUUGAAGCUUGAACUCCCUCCCCCAUGCUCUUCCUUAUUCCUGUUGCAGUGCUGAGCUGGCCUCUUCUUCUGAGACCAGUACCUCAGCAGCAGGUGAACAAAGACAGAGAUGGAGACUUAGGAUCAAAGGCACUGAGUGCCUGACCAGGGGUCCCUCUGUGAGGCAGGAGAACAAGCCCCUCCUCUGUUUCUUUGAAUUUCCUUGUUUAGAAACUGAAUUUCUGGGCCAGGUGUGGUGGCUUACGCCUGUAACCCCCGCACUUUGGGAAGCUGAGGCGGGUGGAUCACCUGAGGUCAGGUGUUUGAGACCAGCCUGGCCAACAUGGCAAAACCCCAUCUUUAAUAAAAAUAGAAAAAGCAGCCUGGCAUGGUGGUGGGCGCCUGUAAUCCCAGCUACUCAGGAGGCUGAGACAGGAGAAUCACUUGAACUUGGGAGGUGGAGGUUGCAGUGAGCUGAGGAGCUGAGAUCGCACCGUUGCAUUCCAGCCUAGGUGACAAGAGCAAAACUCCAUCAAAAAAAAAAAGGAAAGAGAAAGAAAGAAAGAAAAAAGAAAGAAGAAAGGAAGGAAGGAAGAAAGAAAGAAAGAAAGAAAGAAAGAAAGAAAGAAAGAAAGAAAGAAAGAAAGAAAGAAAUUGAGUUUCUGGCUGCUUGUUGUGGGUUGAAUCAUGUCCCCACAAAACACAUGCUGAAGUCACAUCCCCAGUAUCUAAGAAUCUGACCUUCUUUGGAAAUAGGGUUGGUGCAGAUGUAAUUAGUUAGGAUGAGGUCACACUGGAGUAGGGUGGGCUCUUAAUCCAGUAGGGCUGGUGUCCUAGUAAGAAGAAGGAGGAUGACACAAAGACAGACACACAGGGAGAAUGCCGUGUGACCCUAAGAGCAGAGGUUGGAGUGGUGCCGCUACAAGCCUGGGAUUGCCAGCCACCACCAGAGCUAGAAAGAUAUAAGGAGGGAUUUUAGCUUCAGGAACGAUGAGGAGCAUUUACGUUGUUUUAAGCCACCCAAUUUGCAGUAAAACUCAAGGAAACUAAAACAUCUUUUGAAUCCAAAUUCCUGGCCAUAGCUCUGCUUAACAGGACAUCCUUGGAAGCAGACAGAAUGGGGUUUGAGUCUCAGCUCUGUUACCACCUGCUGCAUGGGUUCGGAGGUAAGCUGUUUACCUCCUUGACAUCUCCAUUUCCUCAUCUGCAAAUCAAAGAUGAACAUAGCUUCUUCAAAGACUGUUAAACAUUUAGAGGAGUGCACGGCACAUAAACGGCAAC